ACGUAGGGGGCAAGCGUCCUCCUUAAUUAUUUGGCGUAAAGAGUGCGUAGGUGGUUUUUUAAGCGUGAGGUGAAAGGCAAUAGCUUAACUAUUGUAAGCCUUGCGAACUGGAAGACUUGAGUGCAGGAGAGGAAAGUGGAAUUCCUAGUGUAGCGGUGAAAUGCGUAGAUAUUAGUAGGAACACCAGUGGCGAAGGCGACUUUCUGGACUGUAACUGACACUGAGGCACGAAAGCGUCGGUAGCAAAUAG
rnacentral:rRNA from 1 species